CCUACGGGAGGCAGCAGUGAGGAAUAUUGGUCAAUGGGCGCGAGCCUGAACCAGCCAAGUAGCGUGAAGGAUGACUGCCCUACGGGUUGUAAACUUCUUUUAUAAAGGAAUAAAGUGAGGCACGUGUGCCGUUUUGUAGGUACUGUAUGAAUAAGGAUCGGCUAACUCCGUGCCAGCAGCCGCGGUAAUACGGAGGAGCCGAGCGUUAUCCGGAUUUAUUGGGUUUAAAGGGAGCGUAGAUGGGUUGUUAAGUCAGUUGUGAAAGUUUGCGGCUCAACCGUCAAAUUGCAGUUGAAACUGGCAGUCUUGAGUACCGUAGAGGUGUGCGGAAUUCGUGUUGUAGCGG
rnacentral:rRNA from 1 species